rnacentral:rRNA from 1 species
AACGAACGCUGGCGGCAUGCCUAACACAUGCGAGUCGAACGAGACCUUCGGGUCUAGUGGCGCACGGGUGCGUAACGCGUGGGAAUCUGCCCUUGGGUUCGGAAUAACAGUUGGAAACGACUGCUAAUACCGGAUGAUGACGUAAGUCCAAAGAUUUAUCGCCCAAGGAUGAGCCCGCGUAGGAUUAGCUAGUUGGUGAGGUAAAGGCUCACCAAGGCGACGAUCCUUAGCUGGUCUGAGAGGAUGAUCAGCCACACUGGGACUGAGACACGGCCCAGACUCCUACGGGAGGCAGCAGUGGGGAAUAUUGGACAAUGGGCGAAAGCCUGAUCCAGCAAUGCCGCGUGAGUGAUGAAGGCCUUAGGGUUGUAAAGCUCUUUUACCCGGGAUGAUAAUGGCAGUACCGGGAGAAUAAGCUCCGGCUAACUCCGUG